rnacentral:rRNA from 1 species
GACAAACGCUGGCGGCGUGCAUAAAACAUGCAAGUCGAACGGCCGCUUCGGCGGCAGUGGCAGACGGCUGAGUAACGCGUGGAAACCUGCCCGGGCGUGGGGGAUAAGCCCUCGAAAGAGGGUCUAAUACCACAUACGGUAGCUUCGGCUAAGAAAGCUUUCAGCGCGCUCGGAGGGGUCCGCGUCCGAUUAGCUAGUUGGUGGGGUAAGAGCCUACCAAGGCGACGAUCGGUAGCUGGUCNGAGAGGAUGAUCAGCCAGACUGGGACUGGGACACGGCCCAGACUCCUACGGGAGGCAGCAGUUAGGAAUUUUGGGCAAUGGCCGCAAGGCUGACCCAGCAACGCCGCGUGGGGGAUGAAGGCUCUUGGGUUG